GCGCUCUCUUCAGCAGCACAUAUACUAAAAUUGGAACGACACAGAGAUUAGCAUGACCCCUGUGCAUGGCUGACACAUAUUCGUUCAUAUUUUU
ensembl:snRNA LOC120099416 U6 spliceosomal RNA